rnacentral:ncRNA from 28 species
GCGGCUAUCUGCAAAGUUAAAACUGCAUAAAAAAAUAGAGUCUGUCGACAUCCGCCAGACUCUACAGUACACACAGCAGUGCAUCCGCGUCUUAAGUCCGGCAUUGUCUCCUCUGCGCCGGUGACUGUGUUAUAACGGUUUUAACCUUUAGUUGCCAAUUUUCUUCAGUGACAGAUUUCA